CCUCACUUUGGGCUCUGCUUCUAGACCCUGACUUAAGAUACAAAGGAAGGAGAAAUGAACCAUGAACAAUUCCAGAGAUUUUGAGACAUGGCAAUUGGACUUUCUGUCAGGGUAAACAUCACAGGUUGGACCAUAUAUUAUGGGAGCACCUUUUGCAAGGAUGAAAUACUCCGUCUGGAUGGAUGGGAAUAAUUCAGCUGGGGAUUUGGAGGCCCUAAAGGGCAGUGUAGCCAAUGGACAGGUGAUCCCAGGUACCUGCAUGAGUGGAGGCAGGCCCUUCCUGCAGACCUGCACUGAACUAUAACGUGGGCAUACAGGGCUGGCCUGAGUGAUCAAUAGAAUACUGUAGACGCAACAACAUGUGGCUUCUGAGGAAGCAUUGUAGCCUCUUGGUUUGUUCAUGCUGUGGAAGCCAGCUGCCAUGUCAAGAGGAUGCUCAAGCAGCCAUGUGGAAAGGCCCGUAUGACACAGCAAGAGAGUGGCCAACUGCAAGCCAGGAAGAAACCUUCAGCAGAUCCCAACCAUGCUAGUACCCUGAUCCAGACAUUCAGCCUUCAGAACUGUAAAAAGUAGAAUAAAAUUCUGUUGUUUAAGCCAUCCAGCCUAUGGUAUUUUGUUAUGGCAGCCCAAGCUGAGUGAUUUAGCCAGUAAGCCCAUGAAAAGAUGGUCAAUGUUGUUAGUCAUGAAGGAAACGCAAAUUAAAAACAUAAUGAGGUAUCAAUAUAUAUACAUACAUCAGAAC
rnacentral:lncRNA from 10 species